CUUUUGUGGGGUGCUCGAGUGGCGAACGGGUGAGUAACACGUGAGUAACCUGCCCUUGACUUUGGGAUAACUUCAGGAAACUGGGGCUAAUACCGGAUAGGAGCUCCUGCUGCAUGGUGGGGGUUGGAAAGUUUCGGCGGUUGGGGAUGGACUCGCGGCUUAUCAGCUUGUUGGUGGGGUAGUGGCUUACCAAGGCUUUGACGGGUAGCCGGCCUGAGAGGGCGACCGGCCACAUUGGGACUGAGAUACGGCCCAG
rnacentral:rRNA from 1 species